AACUUUUGACGGUGAAUCUCUUGGCUCACGCAUCGAUGAAGAACGCAGCCAGCUGCGAUAAGUAGUGUGAAUUGCAGAAUUCAGUGAAUCAUCGAAUCUUUGAACGCAAAUGGCGCUCUUGGGUUCUCCCAGGAGCAUGUCUGUCUGAGUGUCGGAACGUCAUCCAUC
rnacentral:rRNA from 1 species